UUGUUAAAGUUUUCUGACACACUCCUCAUCUAUUACAAAGGUAGUUUUGUUAAAGUUUUCUGACACACUCCUCAUCUAUUACAAAGGUAGUUUUGUUAAAGUUUUCUGACACACUCCUCAUUUAUUACAAAGGAGAAUUCAGGGUUUGGCAUCUUUACCUAUAUGCAGUUGAUUAAUCUGCCAAACGUAUUGAAAAAUUCAUUAGCAUGCACUAUUAUUCUUCGGUAUGAGGAACUCAAUACCCUUCCACCAAAAUAACCCCAUUGUAGCAUUCACAUGAGCAUUUUAAUAUGAGAUAAUAGACUUGCUCUAAUACCAUAUGUAAGAAUAUUAGCACCCAACUCAAAACUUUAAAGCAGUAAGUAGAGUAUAAGACCUUUCUAAAUCCUUUUGGGAACCCUCAUACAACCCAUCUGAGAACUAUAUAAAUCAACAGAAUUGUCCAAUUGUCCCAUUAGUUCUUGCCCUUUAAACCCACAAAAAAAAAAAAAAAAAAAAAAAAA